CGCGGCGUAGCUCAAACGGAUAGAGCCCCUGCUUUCUACAUACAGAGAGAACGGCCAAUUCCACUGUAUGGGCAGGUUGACGCAGGUUCAAGUCCUGCCGCCGCGCCCA
rnacentral:tRNA from 1 species